GAGACGAGCGUAACCUUGAUAACUUGUGCAUGUAUCUGCAGGUUUUCCAUGUUUACUCAACAUGCAUACAUGUUGCUAAAGAAGGAGUUUUUUUCUCUUCGAUAUGUUAAUUGCAUUGUGAUUAAAUUUAGUUUCAUUAUCAAUUGCGAUAGUCAGCUGCAGUUUGGAAUUAGCUAAGUGCUCACGGAUUUUUAAAGAAAAUAUUGAAGAAGAAAAAUAAUUACUAGGGUAUCUUGAGAACAAUAGAGCUACGGAAAAAAAACAAUUAUGAGAAGUGUCGGCGCUACUUGUGUGCUUUUAUGUUCUGUGAUCACUUCAGCUGUCGCAAACACGAACACGACUUCUCUGGACCAACUGAGAGAAGCCACACAGCAGGCCACUAUAAAUGGCUUCGAUUCCGCCAUGUACAAUCGCUACACCCCUCCGCCCCCAACUGAAAUCAACUGCUACGUCGAAGUUGAAGUAACUGAACGAGUUGGUGGGCAGUGUGUGAACUUAGGGUCCAGUGACAAGAUGGUUUGCCAGUCUGGAGUGCACCUGUCAUUUGAUGCCGGAUGCCCCAGUCCCAGCACCACCACCGCCCCCACUACACAACGACCACGCAGGAGGGGAGGCGCCCCCAGAGCGACCAGCGUCACAAGAACGACAACCAGAACGACGAGACGACCAAACAACACUCGCUGAAAAAGGACUCUCAAAUCAUUCACAGGUCUAUCCACAGCCAGGGACAUUACAAGCUGAGCUGCUACUUCAUUAACAUGACAAUAAACAUUAGAGAU